rnacentral:lncRNA from 1 species
GCUAUUUCUGCAUGGUUGCACCUACUGACAACGGUAUUCUGUACUCUUUCUUGACCUACAUAUCUUUCAAAUAUCUCAUUGCUUAUCCUUGAGCGCGUUUGAAAUAUCUCAAACUGGUUCGCGCGGCCACGCAAUAUCUAUAUACACUUGUUCUUAUUUUGUUUCUCCCCAUCAACUGUGAGUCAUUGUCAUCUGAUUUCAUGGUCUUCUCGCUUUGCUUCUGAAUGAUGGUCUGUACAAUGUGAAGAAGAGAUGAUCUCA